rnacentral:rRNA from 1 species
UAUGGUCAAGUGAAGAAGCGCAUACGGUGGAUGCCUUGGCAGUCAGAGGCGAUGAAAGACGUGGUAGCCUGCGAAAAGCUUCGGGGAGUCGGCAAACAGACUUUGAUCCGGAGAUGUCUGAAUGGGGGAACCCAGCCAUCAUAAGAUGGUUAUCUUGUACUGAAUACAUAGGUGCAAGAGGCGAACCAGGGGAACUGAAACAUCUAAGUACCCUGAGGAAAAGAAAUCAACCGAGAUUCCCUUAGUAGUGGCGAGCGAACGGGGACUAGCCCUUAAGUGGCUUUGAGAUUAGCGGAACGCUCUGGAAAGUGCGGCCAUAGUGGGUGAUAGCCCUGUACGCGAAAAUCUCUUAGUCAUGAAAUCGAGUAGGACGGAGCACGAGAAACUUUGUCUGAAUAUGGGGGGACCAUCCUCCAAGGCUAAAUACUACUGACUGACCGAUAGUGAACUAGUACCGUGAGGGAAAGGCGAAAAGAACCCCGGAGAGGGGAGUGAAAUAGAUCCUGAAACCGUAUGCGUACAAGCAGUGGGAGCAGACUUUGUUCUGUGACUGCGUACCUUUUGUAUAAUGGGUCAGCGACUUAUUUUCAGUGGCGAGCUUAACCGAAUAGGGGAGGCGUAGCGAAAGCGAGUCUUAAUAGGGCGUCUAGUCGCUGGGAAUAGACCCGAAACCGGGCGAUCUAUCCAUGGGCAGGUUGAAGGUUAGGUAACACUGACUGGAGGACCGAACCGACUACCGUUGAAAAGUUAGCGGAUGACCUGUGGAUCGGAGUGAAAGGCUAAUCAAGCUCGGAGAUAGCUGGUUCUCCUCGAAAGCUAUUUAGGUAGCGCCUCAUGUAUCACUGUAGGGGGUAGAGCACUGUUUCGGCUAGGGGGUCAUCCCGACUUACCAAACCGAUGCAAACUCCGAAUACCUACAAGUGCCGAGCAUGGGAGACACACGGCGGGUGCUAACGUCCGUCGUGAAAAGGGAAACAACCCAGACCGUCAGCUAAGGUCCCAAAGUUAUGGUUAAGUGGGAAACGAUGUGGGAAGGCUUAGACAGCUAGGAGGUUGGCUUAGAAGCAGCCACCCUUUAAAGAAAGCGUAAUAGCUCACUAGUCGAGUCGGCCUGCGCGGAAGAUGUAACGGGGCUCAAAUCAUACACCGAAGCUACGGGUAUCACGUAAGUGAUGCGGUAGAGGAGCGUUCUGUAAGCCUGUGAAGGUGAGUUGAGAAGCUUGCUGGAGGUAUCAGAAGUGCGAAUGCUGACAUGAGUAACGACAAUGGGUGUGAAAAACACCCACGCCGAAAGACCAAGGUUUCCUGCGCAACGUUAAUCGACGCAGGGUUAGUCGGUCCCUAAGGCGAGGCUGAAAAGCGUAGUCGAUGGAAAACAGGUUAAUAUUCCUGUACUUCUGGUUAUUGCGAUGGAGGGACGGAGAAGGCUAGGCCAGCUUGGCGUUGGUUGUCCAAGUUUAAGGUGGUAGGCUGGAAUCUUAGGUAAAUCCGGGAUUCUAAGGCCGAGAGCUGAUGACGAGUUACCCUUUGGGUGACGAAGUGGUUGAUGCCAUGCUUCCAAGAAAAGCUUCUAAGCUUCAGAUAACCAGGAACCGUACCCCAAACCGACACAGGUGGUUGGGUAGAGAAUACCAAGGCGCUUGAGAGAACUCGGGUGAAGGAACUAGGCAAAAUGGCACCGUAACUUCGGGAGAAGGUGCGCCGGUGAGGGUGAAGCACUUGCUGCGUAAGCCCACGCCGGUCGAAGAUACCAGGCCGCUGCGACUGUUUAUUAAAAACACAGCACUCUGCAAACACGAAAGUGGACGUAUAGGGUGUGACGCCUGCCCGGUGCCGGAAGGUUAAUUGAUGGGGUUAGCUAACGCGAAGCUCUUGAUCGAAGCCCCGGUAAACGGCGGCCGUAACUAUAACGGUCCUAAGGUAGCGAAAUUCCUUGUCGGGUAAGUUCCGACCUGCACGAAUGGCGUAACGAUGGCGGCGCUGUCUCCACCCGAGACUCAGUGAAAUUGAAAUCGCUGUGAAGAUGCAGUGUAUCCGCGGCUAGACGGAAAGACCCCGUGAACCUUUACUAUAGCUUUGCACUGGACUUUGAAUUUGCUUGUGUAGGAUAGGUGGGAGGCUUUGAAGCGUGGACGCCAGUUCGCGUGGAGCCAUCCUUGAAAUACCACCCUGGCAACUUUGAGGUUCUAACUCAGGUCCGUUAUCCGGAUCGAGGACAGUGUAUGGUGGGUAGUUUGACUGGGGCGGUCUCCUCCUAAAGAGUAACGGAGGAGUACGAAGGUGCGCUCAGACCGGUCGGAAAUCGGUCGUAGAGUAUAAAGGCAAAAGCGCGCUUGACUGCGAGACAGACACGUCGAGCAGGUACGAAAGUAGGUCUUAGUGAUCCGGUGGUUCUGUAUGGAAGGGCCAUCGCUCAACGGAUAAAAGGUACUCCGGGGAUAACAGGCUGAUACCGCCCAAGAGUUCAUAUCGACGGCGGUGUUUGGCACCUCGAUGUCGGCUCAUCACAUCCUGGGGCUGAAGCCGGUCCCAAGGGUAUGGCUGUUCGCCAUUUAAAGUGGUACGCGAGCUGGGUUUAGAACGUCGUGAGACAGUUCGGUCCCUAUCUGCCGUGGACGUUUGAGAUUUGAGAGGGGCUGCUCCUAGUACGAGAGGACCGGAGUGGACGAACCUCUGGUGUUCCGGUUGUCACGCCAGUGGCAUUGCCGGGUAGCUAUGUUCGGAAUAGAUAACCGCUGAAAGCAUCUAAGCGGGAAACUAGCCUCAAGAUGAGAUCUCACUGGAACCUUGAGUUCCCUGAAGGGCCGUCGAAGACUACGACGUUGAUAGGUUGGGUGUGUAAGCGCUGUGAGGCGUUGAGCUAACCAAUACUAAUUGCCCGUGAGGCUUGACCAUA